AACUUACCAGGUCAAGACAUGGGCGUGAUUGACAGGCUAAUGACUUUUCUCGAUUCCAUGGAUGGUGGUGCAUGGUCGCACUUAGUUGGUGCAGUGAUUUGUCAGGUUUAUUCCGGUAACGAACGAGACCUCGGCCUUGUAAAUAGCUAUGCUGCUUACAGGGACAUUGGCGGCUACGCCAAGGAAGCUCGAGGCAAUUGCAGAUCUGGAAUGCCCUUAGAUGUCCUGGGUCGCACGCGUGCUACAAUGACGCCACGAACGAGCUUGCGUGAUGAAAGUUACGCAUAAUCAGCAGUCGGCGUCUUAAGGGAUAGUCUCUUGUAACUGUGGGACUCCAACUAGGAAUGUCUCGUAAGCACAAGUCAACAUCUUGUGUUGAUUACGUCCCUGCUCUUUGUACACACCGCCCGUCGCUCCUACCGAUCGAGUGUUUAGGUGAAUUUGAUGGACGUAAGGAAGUCAAAUAAACCUGAGCACUAGAGAAGGAGAAGUCGAACAUC
rnacentral:rRNA from 1 species